rnacentral:rRNA from 2 species
UUAAGCGACUAAGCGUACACGGUGGAUGCCCUGGCAGUCAGAGGCGAUGAAGGACGUGCUAAUCUGCGAUAAGCGUCGGUGAGGUGAUAUGAACCGUUAUAACCGGCGAUUUCCGAAUGGGGAAACCCAGUGUGUUUCGACACACUAUCAUUAACUGAAUCCAUAGGUUAAUGAGGCGAACCGGGGGAACUGAAACAUCUAAGUACCCCGAGGAAAAGAAAUCAACCGAGAUUCCCCCAGUAGCGGCGAGCGAACGGGGAGGAGCCCAGAGCCUGAAUCAGUGUGUGUGUUAGUGGAAGCGUCUGGAAAGGCGUGCGAUACAGGGUGACAGCCCCGUACACAAAAAUGCACAUAUUGUGAGCUCGAUGAGUAGGGCGGGACACGUGGUAUCCUGUCUGAAUAUGGGGGGACCAUCCUCCAAGGCUAAAUACUCCUGACUGACCGAUAGUGAACCAGUACCGUGAGGGAAAGGCGAAAAGAACCCCGGCGAGGGGAGUGAAAAAGAACCUGAAACCGUGUACGUACAAGCAGUGGGAGCCUCUUUAUGGGGUGACUGCGUACCUUUUGUAUAAUGGGUCAGCGACUUAUAUUCUGUAGCAAGGUUAACCGAAUAGGGGAGCCGAAGGGAAACCGAGUCUUAACUGGGCGUUAAGUUGCAGGGUAUAGACCCGAAACCCGGUGAUCUAGCCAUGGGCAGGUUGAAGGUUGGGUAACACUAACUGGAGGACCGAACCGACUAAUGUUGAAAAAUUAGCGGAUGACUUGUGGCUGGGGGUGAAAGGCCAAUCAAACCGGGAGAUAGCUGGUUCUCCCCGAAAGCUAUUUAGGUAGCGCCUCGUAAAUUCAUCUCCGGGGGUAGAGCACUGUUUCGGCAAGGGGGUCAUCCCGACUUACCAACCCGAUGCAAACUGCGAAUACCGGAGAAUGUUAUCACGGGAGACACACGGCGGGUGCUAACGUCCGUCGUGAAGAGGGAAACAACCCAGACCGCCAGCUAAGGUCCCAAAGUCAUGGUUAAGUGGGAAACGAUGUGGGAAGGCCCAGACAGCCAGGAUGUUGGCUUAGAAGCAGCCAUCAUUUAAAGAAAGCGUAAUAGCUCACUGGUCGAGUCGGCCUGCGCGGAAGAUGUAACGGGGCUAAACCAUGCACCGAAGCUGCGGCAGCGACACUAUGUGUUGUUGGGUAGGGGAGCGUUCUGUAAGCCUGUGAAGGUGGCCUGUGAGGGUUGCUGGAGGUAUCAGAAGUGCGAAUGCUGACAUAAGUAACGAUAAAGCGGGUGAAAAGCCCGCUCGCCGGAAGACCAAGGGUUCCUGUCCAACGUUAAUCGGGGCAGGGUGAGUCGACCCCUAAGGCGAGGCCGAAAGGCGUAGUCGAUGGGAAACAGGUUAAUAUUCCUGUACUUGGUGUUACUGCGAAGGGGGGACGGAGAAGGCUAUGUUGGCCGGGCGACGGUUGUCCCGGUUUAAGCGUGUAGGCUGGUUUUCCAGGCAAAUCCGGAAAACCAAGGCUGAGGCGUGAUGACGAGGCACUACGGUGCUGAAGCGACAAAUGCCCUGCUUCCAGGAAAAGCCUCUAAGCAUCAGGUAACAUCAAAUCGUACCCCAAACCGACACAGGUGGUCAGGUAGAGAAUACCAAGGCGCUUGAGAGAACUCGGGUGAAGGAACUAGGCAAAAUGGUGCCGUAACUUCGGGAGAAGGCACGCUGAUAUGUAGGUGAAGCGACUUGCUCGUGGAGCUGAAAUCAGUCGAAGAUACCAGCUGGCUGCAACUGUUUAUUAAAAACACAGCACUGUGCAAACACGAAAGUGGACGUAUACGGUGUGACGCCUGCCCGGUGCCGGAAGGUUAAUUGAUGGGGUUAGCGGCAACGCGAAGCUCUUGAUCGAAGCCCCGGUAAACGGCGGCCGUAACUAUAACGGUCCUAAGGUAGCGAAAUUCCUUGUCGGGUAAGUUCCGACCUGCACGAAUGGCGUAAUGAUGGCCAGGCUGUCUCCACCCGAGACUCAGUGAAAUUGAACUCGCUGUGAAGAUGCAGUGUACCCGCGGCAAGACGGAAAGACCCCGUGAACCUUUACUAUAGCUUGACACUGAACAUUGAGCCUUGAUGUGUAGGAUAGGUGGGAGGCUUUGAAGUGUGGACGCCAGUCUGCAUGGAGCCGACCUUGAAAUACCACCCUUUAAUGUUUGAUGUUCUAACGUUGGCCCGUAAUCCGGGUUGCGGACAGUGUCUGGUGGGUAGUUUGACUGGGGCGGUCUCCUCCUAAAGAGUAACGGAGGAGCACGAAGGUUGGCUAAUCCUGGUCGGACAUCAGGAGGUUAGUGCAAUGGCAUAAGCCAGCUUGACUGCGAGCGUGACGGCGCGAGCAGGUGCGAAAGCAGGUCAUAGUGAUCCGGUGGUUCUGAAUGGAAGGGCCAUCGCUCAACGGAUAAAAGGUACUCCGGGGAUAACAGGCUGAUACCGCCCAAGAGUUCAUAUCGACGGCGGUGUUUGGCACCUCGAUGUCGGCUCAUCACAUCCUGGGGCUGAAGUAGGUCCCAAGGGUAUGGCUGUUCGCCAUUUAAAGUGGUACGCGAGCUGGGUUUAGAACGUCGUGAGACAGUUCGGUCCCUAUCUGCCGUGGGCGCUGGAGAACUGAGGGGGGCUGCUCCUAGUACGAGAGGACCGGAGUGGACGCAUCACUGGUGUUCGGGUUGUCAUGCCAAUGGCACUGCCCGGUAGCUAAAUGCGGAAGAGAUAAGUGCUGAAAGCAUCUAAGCACGAAACUUGCCCCGAGAUGAGUUCUCCCUGACUCCUUGAGAGUCCUGAAGGAACGUUGAAGACGACGACGUUGAUAGGCCGGGUGUGUAAGCGCAGCGAUGCGUUGAGCUAACCGGUACUAAUGAACCGUGAGGCUUAACCUU